GUUAGAAUCCGCCCCGUUGGUGCUCGUGCAGGCAUUGCGCCUGUGCAGUUAAACGGGAAUCAGGAAGCCGGCGGUCCUUCGGGCCGACAGCCAACCUGAGCUGUCCCCGCAACGGUAAGUGGCCGCCGGCCGACUGAUCACGCUUGCAUGCCCUCCCCCGCUUCGCGCUUCCCGCGUCCAGCGCGAGGCACGCACCGUGAACCCGUCGUCCGGCCGUGUCUGUCCUCAUGUCCACUGGUGCCCUGCACUGGGAAGGACGCAGACAUCGCGCCACCAGCCCGGAUACCGGCCAACAGGAGGCCCACCGC
rnacentral:ncRNA from 1 species